AUUGAACGCUGGCGGCAGGCCUAACACAUGCAAGUCGAAUGGUAACAGGAAACAGCUUGCUGUUUCGCUGACGAGUGGCGGACGGGUGAGUAAUGUCUGGGAAACUGCCUGAUGGAGGGGGAUAACUACUGGAAACGGUAGCUAAUACCGCAUAACGUCGCAAGACCAAAGAGGGGGACCUUCGGGCCUCUUGCCAUCAGAUGUGCCCAGAUGGGAUUAGCUAGUAGGUGGGGUAACGGCUCACCUAGGCGACGAUCCCUAGCUGGUCUGAGAGGAUGACCAGCCACACUGGAACUGAGACACGGUCCAGACUCCUACGGGAGGCAGCAGUGGGGAAUAUUGCACAAUGGGCGCAAGCCUGAUGCAGCCAUGCCGCGUGUAUGAAGAAGGCCUUCGGGUUGUAAAGUACUUUCAGCGGGGAGGAAGGGAGUAAAGUUAAUACCUUUGCUCAUUGACGUUACCCGCAGAAGUAGCACCGGCUAACUCCGUG
rnacentral:rRNA from 1 species